AGUUAUCUGAAUGCCAAAGGGUCAAAUGGAAAAAAUGAUCAGAAAAGUCAUUUCUAUUCAUUUUUUCAAAUAUAUGAUACUGUACCAAGGACUUUCUAUUUGUCAUUCUACUAUGUAUAUAUAUAUAUAUACAUAUAUAUAUACAUAUAUAUAUAUAUAUAAUAUAUAUAUAUAUAUAUAUAUAUA